CCUGUCACAGAGGGGUGUGUGUUUGUUAGCAGCUAACACUGUGGGAUUUGAACUCUGACAGGUUUACUGAAGAGGACAGCGUUAGUGAGCUAUGCUUUAUAAAGACCCUCUAAUUCAUUACUGGACACAGAAUCACGUGUUGCUCAUGUCCCCAACAGAGGGCACCACUGCAGACAUUCAGAGUUUUGACACUAGAUGUUCUUUUCUGACAAAACUCACUCCUGGAUUGAAGAAGGGACGGAAUCAAACAUGGACCCUCCACUCCUGACCACACCUCUGACUCCGGUGUUCUCCACUGGCCUCCACAUCCUGGUAGUGGUCUGGGUCUCAACCUACAUUCACUGUCCACAGAGGGCGCUCUGUCACUGCUCCUUGAUUGUGGAUGUUGCACAACAGCUAAAACAUUAGCCCUCUCUCCUGCUGCACUGCUGCUGCUC